rnacentral:rRNA from 1 species
GACGAACGCUGGCGGCGUGCUUAACACAUGCAAGUCGAACGGAAAGGCCCUGCUUGCCGGGUGCUCGAGUGGCGAACGGGUGAGUAACACGUGGGUGAUCUGCCCCUUAUUUUGGGAUAAGCCUGGGAAACUGGGUCUAAUACUGGAUAGGACCAUGCUGUAGGUGGUGUGGUGGAAAGAUUAGUUUCGGUAAGGGAUGAGCUCGCGGCCUAUCAGCUUGUUGGUGGGGUAAUGGCCUACCAAGGCGUCGACGGGUAGCCGGCCUGAGAGGGUGGACGGACACAUUGGGACUGAGCUGCGGCCCAGAGUCCUGCGGGAGGCAGCAGUGGGGAAUAUUGCACAAUGGGCGCAAGCCUGAUGCAGCGACGCCGCGUGGGGGAUGACGGCUUUCGGGUUGUAAACUCCUUUCAGCCAUGACGAAGCCCUUGUGGUGACGGUAGUGGUAGAAGAAGCACCGGCUAACUACGUG